GAUGAAGAACGUAGCGAAAUGCGAUAAGUAAUGUGAAUUGCAGAAUUCAGUGAAUCAUCGAAUCUUUGAACGCACAUUGCGCCCGCCAGCAUUCUGGCGGGCAUGCCUGUUCGAGCGUCAUUUCAACCCUCGAGCCCCCCCGGGGGCCUCGGUGUUGGGGGACGGCACACCAGCCGCCCCCGAAAUGCAGUGGCGACCCCGCCGCAGCCUCCCCUGCGUAGUAGCACACACCUCGCACCGGAGCGCGGAGGCGGUCACGUCGUAAAACGCCCAACUCUUCUGAAGUUGACCUCGAAUCAGGUAGGAAUACCCGCUGAACUUAAGCAUAUCAAUAAGCGGAGGA
rnacentral:misc_RNA from 1 species